rnacentral:siRNA from 1 species
CCCUUCCCUUGAACAAAAUGAC